AGCAGUCGCCACGGUAAUACGUAGGGUGCGAGCGUUAAUCGGAAUUACUGGGCGUAAAGCGUGCGCAGGCGGUUGUGUAAGACAGGUGUGAAAUCCCCGGGCUUAACCUGGGAACUGCGCUUGUGACUGCACAGCUAGAGUAUGGCAGAGGGGGGUGGAAUUCCACGUGUAGCAGUGAAAUGCGUAGAGAUGUGGAGGAGCACCGAUGGCGAAGGCAGCCCCCUGGGCCAAUACUGACGCUCAUGCACGAAAGCGUGGGGAGCAAACAGGAUUAGAUACCCCUGUAGUCCCUGUCUCUUAUAC
rnacentral:rRNA from 1 species